GACGAACGCUGGCGGCGUGCCUAAUACAUGCAAGUCGAGCGGACUGAUUAAGAGCUUGCUCUUAUGACGUUAGCGGCGGACGGGUGAGUAACACGUGGGCAACCUGCCCUGUAGAUCGGGUUAACACCGAGAAAUCGGUGCUAAUACCGGGUAAUAUCUGAGAUCACAUGAUCUUAGGUUAAAAGAUGGCUCCGGCUAUCACUACAGGAUGGGCCCGCGGCGCAUUAGCUAGUUGGUAAGGUAAUGGCUUACCAAGGCGACGAUACGUAGCCGACCUGAGAGGGUGAUCGGCCACACUGGGACUGAGACACGGCCCAGACUCCUACGGGAGGCAGCAGUAGGGAAUCUUCCGCAAUGGACGAAAGUCUGACGGAGCAACGCCGCGUGAGUGAUGAAGGGUUUCGGCUCGUAAAGCUCUGUUGUUAGGGAAGAAACAGUACCGAACGAACUAGGUCGGUACCUUGACGGUACCUAACCAGAAAGCCACGGCUAACUACGUG
rnacentral:rRNA from 1 species